GAUGAACGCUAGCUACAGGCUUAACACAUGCAAGUCGAGGGGCAGCGGGAUUGUAGCAAUACAAUUGCCGGCGACCGGCGCACGGGUGAGUAACACGUAUCCAACCUUCCGGUUACUCGGGGAUAGCCUUUCGAAAGAAAGAUUAAUACCCGAUAGCAUAAGAUUUCCGCAUGGUUUUCUUAUUAAAGAUUCAUCGGUAACCGAUGGGGAUGCGUUCCAUUAGGUAGUAGGCGGGGUAACGGCCCACCAAGGCAACGAUGGAUAGGGGUUCUGAGAGGAAGGUCCCCCACAUUGGAACUGAGACACGGUCCAAACUACCUACGGGAGGCAGCAGUGAGGAAUAUUGGUCAAUGGACGAGAGUCUGAACCAGCCAAGUAGCGUGAAGG
rnacentral:rRNA from 1 species